rnacentral:tRNA from 1 species
GGUGGCUCAGUGGUAAAGCACUUGCCUUGCAUGCAGGAGGCCCUGGGUUCGAUUCCUCAGCACCA